GAUGAACGCUGGCGGCGUGCUUAACACAUGCAAGUCGAGCGAGAAGUUUUGAAAAGAUUCUUCGGAUGAAAUUUAAAAUGGAAAGCGGCGGACGGGUGAGUAACGCGUAGGCAACCUGCCCCAUACAAAGGGAUAGCAUUUGGAAACGAAUAUUAAUACCUUAUGAAACUUAACUAGUGCAUGCUAGGUAGGUCAAAGAUUUAUCGGUAUGGGAUGGGCCUGCGUCUGAUUAGCUAGUUGGUGAGGUAACGGCUCACCAAGGCGACGAUCAGUAGCCGACCGGAGAGGGUGAACGGCCACAUUGGAACUGAGACACGGUCCAAACUCCUACGGGAGGCAGCAGUGGGGAAUAUUGCACAAUGGGGGAAACCCUGAUGCAGCAACGCCGCGUGAACGAUGAAGGCCUUUGGGUCGUAAAGUUCUGUUCUAGGUGAUGAAAACUGACAGUAACCUAGGAGAAAGCCCCGGCUAACUCCGUG
rnacentral:rRNA from 1 species